rnacentral:rRNA from 1 species
AUUGAACGCUGGCGGCAUGCCUUACACAUGCAAGUCGAACGGUAACAGGUCUUCGGAUGCUGACGAGUGGCGAACGGGUGAGUAAUACAUCGGAACGUGCCCGAUCGUGGGGGAUAACUACUCGAAAGAGUAGCUAAUACCGCAUACGAUCUACGGAUGAAAGCGGGGGAUCUUCGGACCUCGUGCGGACGGAGCGGCCGAUGGCAGAUUAGGUAGUUGGUGGGAUAAAAGCUUACCAAGCCGACGAUCUGUAGCUGGUCUGAGAGGACGACCAGCCACACUGGGACUGAGACACGGCCCAGACUCCUACGGGAGGCAGCAGUGGGGAAUUUUGGACAAUGGGCGAAAGCCUGAUCCAGCAAUGCCGCGUGCAGGAUGAAGGCCUUCGGGUUGUAAACUGCUUUUGUACGGAACGAAAAGACUCCUUCUAAUACAGGGGGUCCAUGACGGUACCGUAAGAAUAAGGGACGGCUAAAUACGUGCCAGCAGCCGCCGUAA